rnacentral:rRNA from 1 species
AAGGAAUUUUCCGCAAUGGGCGCAAGCCUGACGGAGCAACGCCGCGUGCGGGAUGACGCCUUUCGGGGUGUAAACCGCUGUUCGUGGGGACGAAGCACUGACGGUACCCACGGAGGAAGGCCCGGCUAACUACGUGCCAGCAGCCGCGGUAAUACGUAGGGGCCGAGCGUUGUCCGGAGUUACUGGGCGUAAAGCGUGCGCAGGCGGCGUAUCGCGCCCGGCGUGAAAGCCCCCGGCUCAACCGGGGAGGGUCGUCGGGGACGGGUACGCUUGAGGGCAGCAGGGGCUGGUGGAAUUCCCGGUGUAGUGGUGAAAUGCGUAGAGAUCGGGAGGAACACCUGUGGCGAAGGCGGCCAGCUGGGCUGCACCUGACGCUGAGGCACGAAGGCGUGGGGAGCGAACGGGAUUAGAUAUCCCGGUAGUCCACGCAGUAAACGAUGCAGACUAGGCGUGGGGGGACUUGACCCCCUCCGUGCCGGAGCUAACGCGGGAAGUCUGCCGCCUGGGGAGUACGGCCGCAAGGCUAAAACUCAAAGGAAUUGACGGGGGCCCGCACAAGCGGCGGAGCGUGUUGUUUAAUUCGUCGCAACGCGAAGAACCUUACCAGGGCUUGACAUGGACCUGCACGCCCCGGGAAACCGGGGAAGCCUAC